UUCUCAUCUAAGAAUUUGUAUAAUCUGUGCUCUCUUGUAUGAAAGUACUCUUCCAAGAGUAGGCUGGGUCAACUUUCAUGUUCACUGUGGAGACCUUACUCUAAGCGUGAGCAGAGCCAUAGAAAUAUCAGUACUUUAUUUUAGAUCUUACUCGAUUUGCAAGGGGUUUUAGAUUCGAUGUAUAGUCUUCCAUAUUACUACGUUGCAUGUUUUGUUAGUUUCUG
rnacentral:misc_RNA from 1 species